CACCCUCUCCGUUCCCCAACGUGGGCCCCGGAGCUCUGGGGGGAGUUUGUUUGUUGAGUCUCGCUCUGUCGCCCAGGCUGGAGUCCAGUGCGAUCUCUGCUCACUGCAACCUACAUCUCCCGGAUUCAAGCAGUUCUCCUGCCUCAGCCUCCUGAAGCUGGAAUUACAGAGUCGGGAUCUCAUUUCAUCACCCGGGCUGGAGCGCAGUGUCACCAUGGUGAAUCAUUACAGCCUUGAACUCCUGGGCUCAAGUGGUCCUCCUGCUUCAGCCUCCUGAGUAGCUGGGAACUACAGGGGGACAUGAGACAUCAAUCAAGAUGAUGAACAUUGGUUCAGUCUGGAAAGGCGGGACAACUCGAAGCAAAGGCGGGAGACUCCCAGGUCAAAGGUAGACAGGAGGCAAACAGUGGCGUUCUUCUGAGUUUCUGAUUAGCCUCUCCAAAGCAGGCAAUCAGGUACGCAUUUAUCUCCGUGAGCAGAGGGGCGACUUUGAGCAGAAUGGGAGGCAGGUUGGCCCUAAGCAGUUCCCAGCUUCAGUCUUCCCUUUAGCUUAGUGAUUUGGGGGCCCCAAGGUUUCUUUCUUUCUUUCUUUUUUUUGAGAUGGAGUUUUGCUCUUGUUGCCUCUGAUGGGCACAAUUCCAUCCUCUUUUACUGUAUA